rnacentral:rRNA from 1 species
AUUGAACGCUGGCGGCAUGCCUUACACAUGCAAGCCGAACGGCAGCACGAGAGCUAUCCUGGUGGCGAGUGGCGAACGGGUGAGUAAAGUAUCGGAACGUGCCCAGUCGUGGGGGAUAACGUAGCGAAAGUUACGCUAAUACCGCAUACGAUCUAUGGAUGAAAGCGGGGGACCGCAAGACCUCGCGCGAUUGGAGUGGCCGAUAUCAGAUUAGGUAGUUGGUGGGGUAAAGGCUCACCAAGCCGACGAUCUGUAGCUGGUCUGAGAGGACGACCAGCCACACUGGGACUGAGACACGGCCCAGACUCCUACGGGAGGCAGCAGUGGGGAAUUUUGGACAAUGGGCGAAAGCCUGAUCCAGCCGUGCCGCGUGCAGGAUGAAGGCCUUCGGGUUGUAAACUGCUUUCGUACGGAACGAAAAGGUUUGGCCUAAUAAGCUGAGCUCAUGACGGUACCGUAAGAAUAAGCACCGGCUAACUACGUGCCAGCCGCCGCCGUAA